UGCAAAACGGCCCUGCGUACAUAAACGUUUUUCGAUGCAUAUUUCUUUACCGUGCAAUACACAGUUGUGACACAUAGUUGCAAAAUCGCCAUCAUGAAGAUUGUUGUUGUUUUAACACUUGUGCUGAUAGUUGCCGCUGGCACUAUAGAAGCGCAAACCGCCGGAGAGGGGUCGAUGUGCAGUGGAUUUGCAGGAGUUCAGUGUCGGGCAGGCCUGUUCUGUGAUUACAGCUUGGGAUCAGCGGGCAUUUGUCGGCGUCGUAAUGGGUUUUCUGGGUGAAACCAUUUGAUAAUACUGAGAGCAAGACAGUGAUUCCAAGUGGCAAAGAAACAUAUUUUUGCAUGUUAUGGCUAUCAGAAUAAAAUAAAGACUCAA